ensembl:snoRNA
UUGACCCUUAAUCAAGAUCAGCAGUUUUCUGAAGCUAUUGGUUUCAAGCAGGAGUAUGAAGAGAGAAUCUGUGUAUCAUCUGUUAGCCACUUCAGAAGUUUAGGAAUGUAAGAGUCAGUUUAUUAGAAAGAAACAGCU